UAGGGAAUAUUGGUUAAUGUGCGAAAGCGCGAACCAGCAACGCCGCGUGCACGAUGAAGGCCUUCGGGUUGUAAAGUGCUUUUUGAGGGGAUGAGGAAGGACAGUACCCUCAGAAUAAGUCUCGGCCAACUACGUGCCAGCAGCCGCGGUAACACGUAGGAGACGAGCGUUAUCCGGAUUUACUGGGCGUAAAGCGCGUGCAGGCGGUUCAGCAAGUUGGAUGUGAAAGCUCCCGGCUUAACUGGGAGAGGUCGUUCAAAACUACUGAACUUGAGAGUGGUAGAGGGAGGUGGAAUUCCGGGUGUAGUGGUGAAAUGCGUAGAUAUCCGGAGGAACACCAGUGGCGAAAGCGGCCUCCUGGACCAUUUCUGACGCUCAGACGCGAAAGCUAGGGUAGCGAACGGG
rnacentral:rRNA from 1 species